UACGUACUGUGUGAACGUUAUUCGGAAUCACUGGGCUUAAAGGGUGUGUAGGCGGCUAGCUAAGUAGGGUGUGAAAGGCCUCGGCCUAACCGAGGCAUUGCGCUCUAAACUGACUGGCUUGAGUAAGAUAGGGGUGUGCGGAACUUCCAGUGGAGCGGUGAAAUGUGUUGAUAUUGGAAGGAACGCCGGUGGCGAAAGCGGCACACUGGGUCUUAUCUGACGCUGAGACACGAAAGCCAGGGGAGCGAACGGG
rnacentral:rRNA from 1 species